rnacentral:rRNA from 1 species
CAGCAGCCACGGUAACACAGAGGGUGCAAGCGUUAAUCGGAAUUACUGGGCGUAAAGCGCGCGUAGGUGGUUUGUUAAGUUGGAUGUGAAAGCCCCGGGCUCAACCUGGGAACUGCAUCCAAAACUGGCAAGCUAGAGUACGGUAGAGGGUGGUGGAAUUUCCUGUGUAGCGGUGAAAUGCGUAGAUAUAGGAAGGAACACCAGUGGCGAAGGCGACCACCUGGACUGAUACUGACACUGAGGUGCGAAAGCGUGGGGAGCAAACAGGAUUAGAUACCCCAGUAGUCCUGUCUCUUAUACA